AUUGUAUUGCUUGCUGCAGACUGUAUCACAUGGGCAGAUGGUGCAACUACCAAUGGCCACUAACAGGGAUCCUGCUGUUCAUUUAGAUAUGGAAUAGCAUCCAGUUUGGAGCAGCAGCCCUAAUUACACCAAGAUAGCUGCCAGAUUUUGCCCAUAUGGAUUUUGGCAAUGCUGUGUUUGUCAGUUCAUGUUAAAUGCUAAUGAAAUGGUACCACAAUGAUUGUUGGCAAUAUGAGUGCUAUUGUGUAGUGACCUAAGACAAAACCAUAAUGCUAGUUUUGCUUUGCCAUUUUCAGUCAGAAAAGAUUUAGGGAACAAAGAGUUGAACUGUAUUGUUGUUUUUGCGCAGCUUAAUGCUAACUUGCUAAUUCCCUCCAUCAUUGUCCUAUUGUUGCAAUCAGAAAGAGCUAAGCCUGACUCAUAGUCUUAGCUAAUCAUGUGUGUGGCCUGAUUUUUGGUAGCAAGGGGUUACUACGAGUAUCAAAGUGUUCGUAUUGCAUGCUAAUUGACUAGUAAACUCAUGAAGACGUCUUGAGGAAUUUGACUUUGUCAGACAACCUACAAAAUGGAUUUAGACUAAACACAUUUUCUGAAAGUUUAUUUGGUCUUAAGCAAUUCUUUGUGAGAAUAUAAAUCACUUGUUGAAGAUGUAAGGUGUAAAUCUGUUUGAAUGUAGCUGCUGGCAUGUUCCUGAGGUGAAGAUAAACCCCAUUCUGUCUAUCCUAGAUCACUCUGUCUGAAAGUGUCAGUAUUAAAUUCCCUCUGGCUGACACUUGGCUCCAAACCGCAGAUCAGGAUCAGGUGUUCCAGUGCUCCUCCCUGCCUCAGUCAUUAUAAGCUUAAAGAUGACACCCCUCCCAGAUCAAUGCCUGAGCGCUACUUGAGGAACACAAUAUGGAGCACUUCUAGAGUUACGGAUAAGUGAGUUGGACCAAAAGAUUCAGUCAUUUUUCAUCAUCCCUGCGGGAAUGAGAUCUUUUGUCAAGGACACAGUGGUGUUUCUCAACAUCCCAAAAGGAGGAUGUUAGCACACUGAGACUGAACCAUGGCAUUAUGGGAAGCUGUCCAUUUUUCUUCUCUAGCCCCAUACCAGUUAUAAACUUGGAGCGACAUUUCUCAGUUGCUUGAUGCUUGAAAACAAUUUGAAAUGUA
rnacentral:lncRNA from 12 species